CAUUGCAUUAGUUUGAUCUCUCUUUUCUCUUCUUGAUCAUUUUUUAGCUACUAUUUUUCUUCUUCACACUGUUUGUUCUUUAGUUUUCUCUGAUCUUUCCCUGAUUUCUUGAUCCAGGAUUUUCUGUUUUUAGCUCCAUAAAGCUACCAAUUUGUUCUUAUUAUUUUCCCUUGGAGAAGCAACAGUUGAUGUAUUAUAUGCAUCUAUCUAUGCGACUUUGAUAACACUGUUUGCUUGAAUGAACUUUGAGAACUUGUGUUGCUUGCUUGUUGGUUAAGGUUCACAUUCCUCUGGAUUUUGAUAUAUAGUAGGGGUUGACCUACAGAUAUAUGCUCAUGCUAGCUCUCAAUCAUUUAUUCUUUGGACUCCUCUUCUUUUCCUUUCUCAAACUGUUAACCUAGUUAUCAUGUCAUAUUCCCUUGUUCCCUCGCAUUCUCUUUUAUCUCUCUCUCUCUCUCUCAUACUCUUACAUCCACACGCUUCUUUUUCUUUCUGAUGGAAGAAGAGCUCAGUCAAGGCUACUAAGAAAUGCCCAGAGGAAUGAGUGAAGCUGCCAGCAUGAUCUAGCUUUGGGUGACCAGAACACUCGUAUGCGUGUUCAUGAAGGUUGAUCAUCGCUAGGUCAUGCUGUGCCAGCCUCACUUCUUCCCGUUGUUGGGCAUCACGAUCACCUCCGGAAACGAAGAACAAGAGGCAGCAGCAGCAGUACCUUCGAUCUCUGCAAAAGCCUGAGUGCGCAAAGAAGAUGUGGCAUCUAAAUCUCCAUUUUCUGCGCAAGUCAAGAAUCUGCAGAUAAGAGGAGACCCACUUCACCUGCUGUUUCUCUUGAGACCUUCGCGUUUUGCCUCUCGUACAGACAACAUGUGUUCUUGCUCUUAAUUUUCUUUGCUUUUUACAGUCAUAUAAAGCACUAACUGAAACAAAAAGGCAUGAAUGUGAUGUGAAUAGUAGUUUUUGACAUCGUUCAGCACACACAUUAUUUUUGUGGCCAUUUUCUUGUGAUUCUGUUUUCCCUGAUCUAAACAAGCAUUCUCUGAAUCCUCCAAGACUAAUCUGUUUACACUCAGAUGCUUUUUCUAGCCUCCGAUGCAAGGAUUCAUUGGAAGCAAGAAAGUCCAAGACAAUUGUGAUGAUAAUUUCAUGCUACGAUCACUGGAAAUAGGCAUCAAGAUAAGACUGCAGCCCCUGAUGCAUGGUGGCCACUUGGUAGCUGCCGAAGACAACUGACCUGGGAAGUCUUUGUUCCUCGCUCACAAAUCUCACCUCCCAUUUCUGGUGCUAAAACAUCCCAUUGCCGUCGUUUGAAGUGGUCGGGUUCACUAAGAGACAAGAUUCACGUCUUCCUUCAGCUCUGUAAAUUCUACCAGGUCACAGUCAAGAUAAGCGACAAACAUGUCCUCUUCACUCUCGCCUAACCUUCAGAAUAAACUAAUAUAUUCGGACAAUAAUAUUGGAAA